CUAAAUUUAACUAGGGUCCUACUAGCUACCUUAAAUUAUUUUAAAAUAAAAUAAAUACACCAUAAAAAUUGAUGUGGCAUAGAAAAUGUGCACUUGCCUUCAAGAGAGUGUGCACAUUUUCUAUGCCACAUCAAUUUUUAUGGUGUAUUUAUUUCAUUUUAAAAUUGUUUAAGGUGGCUAAUAGGACCCUAGUUAAAUUUAGGU